GGAGAGAUGGCCGAGCGGUCGAAGGCACCGGUCUUGAAAACCGGCAAAGGGCAACCUUUCGUGGGUUCGAUCCCCACUCUCUCCGCCA
rnacentral:tRNA from 1 species